UGGGGAAUAUUGCACAAUGGGCGCAAGCCUGAUGCAGCCAUGCCGCGUGUAUGAAGAAGGCCUUCGGGUUGUAAAGUACUUUCAGCGGGGAGGAAGGGAGUAAAGUUAAUACCUUUGCCCAUUGACGUUACCCGCAGAAGAAGCACCGGCUAACUCCGUGCCAGCAGCCGCGGUAAUACGGAGGGUGCAAGCGUUAAUCGGAAUUACUGGGCGUAAAGCGCACGCAGGCGGUUUGUUAAGUCAGAUGUGAAAUCCCCGGGCUCAACCUGGGAAAUUGAGCUGGUACUGGCAAGCUUGAGUCUCGAAGAGGGGAGUAGAGUUCCAGGUGUAGCGUUGAAAUACGAAGAGAACUGGAGGAAUACCGGUGGCGAAGGCGGCCCCCUGGACGAAGACGGACGAUAAGGUGCGAAAGCGUGGGGAGCAAACAGG
rnacentral:rRNA from 1 species